UACAGAGGGUGCAAGCGUUAAUCGGAAUUACUGGGCGUAAAGCGUGCGUAGUCGGUUAUCUAAGUCGGGUGUGAAAUCCCCGGGCUCAACCUGGGAAUUGCAUUCGAUACUGGAUAGCUAGAGUUCGGCAGAGGGAAGCGGAAUUUCGGGUGUAGCGGUGAAAUGCGUAGAUAUCCGAAGGAACAUCAGUGGCGAAGGCGGCAUCCUGGACCGGUAUUGACGCUGAGGAGCGAAAGCCAGGGGAGCAAACGGG
rnacentral:rRNA from 1 species